UGGUAACUACGAUUUUGUUGACAAGAGAUUGAAGGAGUAUAAUUAACAAAUGGAUUGAGUGAUUGCUUGUGCCUUAGCCUAAUUACGUGAUAAUCCACAAGAUCGUCCAGAAAUGAUUCAGAUAGUUGAAGCUCUAAAAGGAAAUAUUGAUCGGCAAGAUCUCUACAAAAGGGAACAACAGCUUAGUCGAGGACCGGGGACCAAGCAAAAGCCUUUAAGCAAGUUGAGCCAAUCCUGGAGAUAGAAUCCCCGCCCAAGCCCAAGAUUUAGGCAACUUGAGCGAGGCCUCAAAAGGAAGUUUAGCAUAGUCUAGAGCCAGCAUCCCGCCCGAGGGGGCAAGCCCGAGAUUUUGGCCGGUUGAGCCUAAGCUCAACUCUUGCUUGAGUUUAGG
rnacentral:misc_RNA from 1 species